UUCUAGUGGUGUUUUUAUGGUAUCUGA
rnacentral:sRNA from 1 species